GUUUAUAUGGUAUAUACCAAAACCAAACCAUAUUAUCUAUUUUGGUUCGGUUCGGUUCGGUACGGUUCGGUUUUACCAUAUUGAACAGCCCUAGUGAAAUCCGUCUUUAAAUACAAUUUGUGUUUUAUUUUUAGUUUAUCGUUUCUUGCUUGCAUUAACUAUUUUAACUCGGCGGGAAUGAAAAUUUAAAGGCUUCAAACAAAGUUGACAUUUUCAUUAAUAGUUGUAACAAUCAAACAAAUGAGAAAAAUGGUUUCCAAAUGAGUGUAGACUUUAUACUACUAACCUUUUCUUUUGUUUACAAAAAAAAAAGAGUGUAGACGGGUGGAGAAUGACUUGGUCUAUUGAAAGGAAUUUCUUUGUCUAUCCGGUGCAAAACUAUGAGAGGGGUGACAAGCAAACAUAAUGAUUGAAUCAUUGAAUUAAUAUUGAAUAUGAUAAUGAUGAGUUUAUGACUUCGUCAACUUUUACUUUGAAUAAUGUUUGGUCGUGAUGGUAAAUGAUGACUAUAUGAACAGUUUUGUAAAGAAAUGAAAGACUAUAUAGUCAAUAUCCAUAUAUUAGUUUAUAUCUAGCAAAUUAUCUCUAGUUUUAAUGCAUAUACUGGUUUCAUUGCCUAACAAGAAAACUGUAAUACAUGAUAAUUUCAUAACAACUAAAAUAAAUGUGCUUUAUGCAAACGGCAAGAAACAAAAAUACAACAUCAAAUAGCAUCUUAUGUACGUACUUGGUUAAUUAACAACUUUCUUAAAAGCUAAAGAAUCUUAUGUACUUCUGACAUACAUGCUUGAGAGUUUCAUUUGAUUACCAACUUGCUUCAGAAUUACGAACUGUUAUUUUAGGGUCAGUACGAAAUCCUCUCACUGAGUGGAUCUUAUAUUCGGGGCGAACAUAGUGGCCUUAGCGUUUGUUUAUCUAUGUUAGAAUUGGGGUUUAUUAUGGGUUGGUUUAUUAUGGGCUUCCAACUCAAAACCAAUUGGCUAUUAGUGGAUUGACCCUAACCCUUUAUAUAGUAGUAAAUUAAUUCUUAUAUUUCCGAUGUGGGAUGUUUCUCAUCAAUACCCUCCCUCACGCUCAGACAUCUAGGUCUGAAGCGUGGACAAUGUGGGAAUAACAUCCACAGAGGGCCCAACAUCGGUUUAGUAGUAGUAGUUGUAGUAAAUUAGGUCAAAGGAUCUUAUCGCUCUGAUACCAUGUUAGAAUUAGGGUUUAUUAUGGGCUUCCAACUCAAAACCAAUUGGCUAUUAGUGGAUUGACCCUAACCCUUUAUAUAGUAGUAGAUUAAUUCUUAUAUUUCCGAUGUGGGAUGUUUCUCAUCAAUAAUCUAGUUCAGAUGGUCAGAUCGUUGGUGGAGGAGUUGGGGGAGUACUCCUAAAGCCUGCUGGUCUAGUUCAGGAAUGAGAGGAAAUGGUUCAGCAGAUAAUGGAGAAUAUGAGUAAAUGGCUAAAAUUAGUACUGAUUCAAGUUUUUGAAGAAAAGUGUGUAGAGGUUUGGGCAUAAAUGAAGGUGAGAGUGGGCAUAAUGUCUGAAGGAUUUUUUUCAUGCAAAGGCAGAGUGAGAGUGAGAAAGAGCAGAGAAAACAGUGAUGCUUUUGUUCUUGGUUCAUUGUAAUAUUUUAGGAACUUCACAUUCUCGUUUUAUCUUUCUUGAGUUCUUUUUCUUCAUAUAAUCCGUUUUUUUUUUCUUGCUGAGCGUUUUUUCUGGCUGUGCAUUUUAGAAAUAUACACAUUUUGUUUAGAUAAUUGGCUUUUAAGUUAAACUUUGUCAUGUUUAUAUGAAAGUCUCUUUUGAUAAUGCCAAUUAUAGUUUUUCAUU